GUGCCAGCAGCCGCGGUAAUACGUAGGUGGCAAGCGUUGUCCGGAUUUAUUGGGCGUAAAGCGAGCGCAGGCGGUUCCUUAAGUCUGAUGUGAAAGCCCCCGGCCCAACCGGGGAGGGUCAUUGGAAACUGGGGAACUUGAGUGCAGAAGAGGAGAGUGGAAUUCCAUGUGUAGCGGUGAAAUGCGUAGAUAUAUGGAGGAACACCAGUGGCGAAGGCGACUCUCUAGUCUGUAACUUACGCUGAGGCUCGAAAGCGUGGGUAGCAAACAGGAUUAGAAUCCCCCGUAGUCC
rnacentral:rRNA from 1 species